GGGUUGUGAGGUUAAGCGACUAAGCGUACACGGUGGAUGCCCUGGCAGUCAGAGGCGAUGAAGGACGUGCUAAUCUGCGAAAAGCGUCGGUAAGGUGAUAUGAACCGUUACAGCCGGCGAUGUCCGAAUGGGGAAACCCAGUGCAAUUCGUUGCACUAUCGUUAACUGAAUACAUAGGUUAACGAGGCGAACCGGGGGAACUGAAACAUCUAAGUACCCCGAGGAAAAGAAAUCAACCGAGAUUCCCCCAGUAGCGGCGAGCGAACGGGGAGCAGCCCAGAGUCUGAAUCAGCUUGUGUGUUAGUGGAACGGUCUGGAAAGUCCGACGGUACAGGGUGAUAGUCCCGUACACCAAAAUGCACAGGUUGUGAACUCGAAGAGUAGGGCGGGACACGUGGUAUCCUGUCUGAAUAUGGGGGGACCAUCCUCCAAGGCUA
rnacentral:rRNA from 1 species